rnacentral:rRNA from 1 species
GAUGAACGCUGGCGGCGUGCCUAAUACAUGCAAGUCGAGCGAACAGACGAGGAGCUUGCUCCUCUGACGUUAGCGGCGGACGGGUGAGUAACACGUGGAUAACCUACCUAUAAGACUGGGAUAACUUCGGGAAACCGGAGCUAAUACCGGAUAAUAUAUUGAACCGCAUGGUUCAAUAGUGAAAGACGGUUUUGCUGUCACUUAUAGAUGGAUCCGCGCCGCAUUAGCUAGUUGGUAAGGUAACGGCUUACCAAGGCAACGAUGCGUAGCCGACCUGAGAGGGUGAUUGGCCACACGGGAACUGAGACACGGCCCAGACUCCUACGGGAGGCAGCAGUAGGGAAUCUUCCGCAAUGGGCGAGAGCCUGACGGAGCAACGCCGCGUGAGUGAUGAAGGUCUUAGGAUCGUAAAGCUCUGUUAUUAGGGAAGAACAAAUGUGUAAGUAACUAUGCACGUCUUGACGGUACCUAAUCAGAAAGCCACGGCUAACUACGUG